UUCAAAGACACGGAUACCCUGGAGGAGAAUAAAAGAAAAAGGAAAAAAAAAAAAAAAAAAAGCCGUAAAUAAGGGAUGAGGAGGAUAUUUUUUGGAUAUUUGAGCGCGUUUGUGUGUUAUAGAGAGGCGUUAAAUCCUGAGCGCUUCCCUCGGCAGAGCCUACUUUCGCUGUGUUUUGAAAACGGAGUGAGCAAUGGCACUCUUACUGUAAAGGAAGAAAAAGAAGAAGGGGUUCGGGGAAGCGGCCACAGCUCCUGCGAGCAGCGCACGUCUCCGUGCAGGUACCACGGGCGACAGCAGAUAAUAGGGUUCCCAAAGGCACCGAGUGCCGUGUGAAAAGAAACCCGAGGGAAGGCGCUUACAUAAACAACCGCGCUGCGAGCGCUCGGAGCGCCGGGGAACCCAUUGCCACAGCGCCCCCUCCCAUGCGCGGCUCGAACUAAAGGUUCCAUCCCGAGGAAAGGGAAAGAAAAGUUCUUUCCCUCCGUUUCUUCCUUUUAGUUUUGCCUGCUUGCUGCUCUAACCCUGCCCGGCGUAAGGGCUCGCCCGUCUCCUCGUUGGCUCGGGGCGCGCCUCGGCCGGAGGGAGCCUCGGAAGGAGGGCUUCUUGUACUGAAGAACUGGACAAGUCCGCUCGCACAGUAUGCGUGUGUCAUUUGUUAUUUUUAAAUACAAUAGCCUAUUAUUUCACGUCGUUGUCUCCGGGAGAUGGUGGCGGCCCCCCAUUUCAUGAGAGAAAGGAGAAAGCGUUCCCAGCCCAUUGUGUGGUUAUGUCACAGGAAACUGUUUGUGCUGCGCAUUGUGUUGCAUCUCCAAAUCCCACCAAGUUCCACUUCGCUCUGCUUCAAAAGUUGCUGGGGCCGGUGUCACGGCAAUUGGGUAACCGGCAUUGUCCGGGCGAUGGGCGGGCGCGACUCUCCGGGCCGCGGGGAGCAUUCCUGAGGCAGGGAAAUCUCCGUGCCAGCGCGGUUUGCGCUGCUUUGCCCUUCCCGAGUGACACGCCGGGGAGCGAGGCCGAGGGUACACUGGCACCGAGCGCCGGGCUCCGCGCAGCCGGGCGCGCACGGAGUGCGCGGUGCAGAGAGCGGGGGGAGAGCAGCGGGGAGCGGGAUGUCUCCUUUGGCUUCCAACUUCACCGCCCGAAAACUUCACCCCCUGGCACUGGGGAGAGGUAGCUCAGAAAUGGCAAAGCUCAAAACCUGCCUCCCAGGAGGGUGGUGAGCGAUAAUUGAGAAGGGGCAAGGGCUAUGGAAAGCUCUCGGCUCUCUGCUCAGCUACGCUGGAUGGAGCAAAGUGAAUUAAAAGAAGAGAAGGAGAGAGCAGAGCUUAAAAUCUGGGAAGCGCAAGUUAGACGGCAUUUUAUUAGUAUUACAAUGGGAAAAUUAGAUUUCAGCUGGGGAGCCGGGCAGAUGAAAGCUCCAUUCCUUGUGAAAGGCGUUCGGAUCCCAACCGGCAAGAAGUUGAAUACAACCACAUACGCUGAGCGAUGUUUAAGAGUGUUAUGGACACGGUUUUCCCGUUCGUUCCACGCGGAGAGUUCUCCCGGGACUGUCUCAGUGCCCCAGCAGCUCCCCGCUCUGUGCAGAGCCAAAUUCGUGGUGUAAUAGUGGAAAUAAAACGCAGAGCGUCGCCUCGCAGUGGGUGAAUCCAUGGCUCUCUGAAGCCCGACAAAAAUGAUGCAAAUCAAACUAACGUGAAAACUCGCCUUUUGAAUUGCGAAUAUAUUGCCCCAUUCAUCCGUGAUUGAGAGAUUAACCCCGUUUCUGUGUACAAAACACUGAUUUUUGGACGGCAGAUAUUAAAGCAUCAGACAUAUAAUCUGUUGCUCUUUGUGUUUGGAGGAAGGGGUGAUGGUCUUCAUUUAAACAUUCGUCCCACCGAGAGCACAAGCAGAAAUAUUUUCACAGGGCGAAGCAGAAGGAGGCUGGAACAACACCUACAAUUGCACGGAGGUGCUCGUGAACCUGCGUGUGUGACACAUGGAUCUGCGUGGAGCUCUGCAUGGAGAUCCCUAUCUGUGUGUGCGUGUGUGGCUGUGCGGAUCUCCGCACUCUGAACUGAAUUACAGCGAUUCUCCCGGGAUCGCGGUAUUUGUUUAAGUACUCUUCCCAGGUCAUAACUGUAGCACUCACUUAAUAGCAUUAAUCCCCUGUUAUAAUGUAAACACAACGGCCAUUGUAUUCCCAAUCUGCAUUGUUCCACUAAUUAUUAAAGAGGAGGAACUAAAAGCAAUCAAUUCGCGGAGCUGAACGCUCUCUCGCACCACCCCUGCUGGAAAGAACAGAGCUGGCUUCCCAAAUCAGAAUGCGGAGGGUAUGGCGCGUUUUGCAAGGCGGGCAGGUUGACUUGCAGAGAUUCAUGUAUGACUUUAUAAUGUUAUAAUUAAUUUUGCAUUCUCAGCUCUCCAGCUGCUGCUCCGUUCAAAAGCAGAGCUCAUAUACUUAGAAACCGGCGUGCGGAACACAGGAAUUGACUAUUCAGAUGUAAUCGCAUGAUAUCGAUUAUUCCACAGAACUACCGAAAUAUGAAUGUGCUUUAUAUAAAGCCCUUGUUUUUCGAGUUUCUAUUUUUAUGUAAUAUAUGCGCAUUCAUCAUCAAGCCGGGAAGGAGGCGUCUUUUCUGUAAUCUGUUGCUGUGAGUUUAGCAGUGCUUUAUCACUCCCUUAUCAGGAAGCCGGGAGUUAAUGACAAGAAAUACCUGUUGGUGUUAACCUCCUCCCCUCACCUGCCUGGCUCGGGGCUGCCUCUUCCACAGGCCAGAGCUGAUGGAGCUGGUGGGAAUUCAUCCCUCUGCCUGCUGGCCAGAUAUCUACUGCUGCUGUGCGCAGGGGCUAACUGCUUCGCGGGCUUCGCAGAAAAAAAAGGGAAGGGAUAGAAAAUCAAAUAGAGAAGGAAAACGGGAAGCUCGGAUUCCUCCAGCAUAGGCAUCCCGAUGCCUGAGCAGAGGUUUCAGACGGCAUUUCCCCCGCUGCGUCCACGGGACUGCAGCAGCGCCUUCUCGACGUGUAUUUUUUUUUUCAUUAGCCGCGUGUUUAAUUGGUUAACAAUGGGCUGCCCUGCUCGCCAGCAGCUCCCUGGUUGUGCCACCCCCUCUUCCCAGCUCCGAGCCGCUUCCUCGGCAUACCUGCGCGCACCCCAAUAGACAUUACCUCGAUUAUUCCCUGAACUCGGCCGCAAACGCGCAGCGAUAUGUUUGCUUAAACAGGGGACCACUGCUCACUCACAGAUGCUGCAAAAAUAAAACGCUUUGUUCCAUGCACCUUUUUUGUUUUGUUCCCCCCCACACACUCCCACCUCCCAGAAGCGCAGGGGCUCCUCAUCCUACGCGCAGUGAGGCUGAAGGACCGCGGCUCCCGUCGGUCCCGCUCCCACCUGCGGGCGGUACGGGGUGCGGGAGCCCAGGGCCGGCGGCCGGGCCCGG
ensembl:lncRNA